CACACAUUAACAUACGCACAGACACAUUACCGAGUUACAAUUAUGUUAAUUUAUUUAAGAUACCUAGUGAAUCAUAGAAUCUUAUAUCAAUCAAAUAGUUCUUCAUAAAACAUGAAAUUCAUAAAUAUUAAUCAAUAAAUGAGGGAGACAGGUGGAUGAACCGGGAAGUCUGUUUACUUUUUUGUCCCCUAACUCAGAAAAGUUUUCAAAAUAAAAGUGUUUCCUUAGCUUCUCUUUUUUUCCAGUUGUAUUUUGAUACUGUGAGAGUCCCAGGAUUUCACCACAGACGAUACAAAGUAGGCUACAGCAUUACUAUACGUUGACUUUAUAUGGAGUCGAACGCGCCUGUCGCCUGGAACGCGUCUAUUUGACUUUGUAUGGAGCCGAACGCGCCCAUCGCCUGGAACGCGUCUAUGCGUUGACUUUGUAUUGAAGUCACGUCGCCUUCGCUUUUGAUGUGAACGCGCCAUUACUUUAGUUUCACUAUUCACAUGAACGAUGUGACGCAGUUAGCUGUGGUAAAAGCUCUUCCUCUUUCUGAUCCGUCUGCACAGCGGACCCCAGCAGCUCAAUCUUUACUCUCAGAACCUUUGUUAAUGUUCUGUCUCGCUUCUAAACACUUCUCUGUUAUUUGGUGAACACCUAAAUCUCUUUAUUCCCCCCUUCCCUUGCAUUUGUGCAUCUAUAUUUCCAUUCAACACGGGCAGCACACGAUUCGUCACGGAAAGGAUAAGGUCUCCAGUCUACUAUGGAUGAGGAGAGAGAGGAGGGGGCUCCUACCUCUAAAACCACUCUGUCUGGGAAACAUGGCCGCCAGAGCAAAGCUAAGAGCCCAGAGCAGCGGGAGAGAGCGGACUCCCCUGGACCCAGCUGUGUCUCCUUGAAGAGUGACCACUCUAUGGAUUGUCCUAUUUACUUUAAAGAUAGACGCCCCUCCAGAGAGGAAAGAUUCCAGAAGGAGAGGGCAGACUCCCCUGGACCAAGCUGUGUCUCCUUGAAGAGCGACCGGUCUAUGGAUCGUCCUCCUCACCUUAAAGAUGGACGCCCCUCCAGAGAGGAGAGGCGACCACAGGAGAGGUCAAAGGUUACCAGUGCUCAGUCUGUACAGCAGAAUAAAACAGAGCUGAUCAAGGUGUGUAAAUGAAAAACUACAUUUGACUUCAGCUCUA